rnacentral:rRNA from 1 species
UUCGCCCUUACGGCUCAGUAACACGUAGUCAACAUGCCCAGGGGACGUGGAUAACCUCGGGAAACUGAGGAUAAACACGAUAGGUCAUCACUUCUGGAAUGGGUAAUGACUUAAAUCUAUAUGGCCCCUGGAUUGGACUGCGGCCGAUCAGGCUGUUGGUGAGGUAAUGGCCCACCAAACCUGUAACCGGUACGGGCUCUGAGAGGAGGAGCCCGGAGAUGGGCACUGAGACAAGGGCCCAGGCCCUAUGGGGCGCAGCAGGCGCGAAACCUCUGCAAUAGGCGAAAGCUUGACAGGGUUACUCUGAGUGAUUUCCGUUAAGGAGAUCUUUUGGCACCUCUAAAAAUGGUGCAGAAUAAGGGGUGGGCAAGUCUGGUGUCAGCCGCCGCGGUAAUACCAGCACCCCGAGUGGUCGGGACGUUUAUUGGGCCUAAAGCAUCCGUAGCCGGUUCUACAAGUCUUCCGUUAAAUCCACCUGCUUAACAGAUGGGCUGCGGAAGAUACUAUAGAGCUAGGAGGCGGGAGAGGCAAGCGGUACUCGAUGGGUAGGGGUAAAAUCCGUUGAUCCAUUGAAGACCACCAGUGGCGAAGGCGGCUUGCCAGAACGCGCUCGACGGUGAGGGAUGAAAGCUGGGGGAGCAAACCGGAUUAGAUACCCGGGUAGUCCCAGCUGUAAACGAUGCAGACUCGGUGAUGGGCUGGCCUUGUGCCAACCCAGUGCCGCAGGGAAGCCGUUAAGUCUGCCGCCUGGGGAGUACGGUCGCAAGACUGAAACUUAAAGGAAUUGGCGGGGG